rnacentral:rRNA from 2 species
CGGGUGAGUAAUGCAUCGGAACGUGCCCAGUAGUGGGGGAUAGCCCGGCGAAAGCCGGAUUAAUACCGCAUACGACCUACGGGUGAAAGCGGGGGACCGCAAGGCCUCGCGCUAUUGGAGCGGCCGAUGUCAGAUUAGGUAGUUGGUGGGGUAAAGGCCUACCAAGCCUGCGAUCUGUAGCUGGUCUGAGAGGACGACCAGCCACACUGGGACUGAGACACGGCCCAGACUCCUACGGGAGGCAGCAGUGGGGAAUUUUGGACAAUGGGCGCAAGCCUGAUCCAGCCAUGCCGCGUGCGGGAAGAAGGCCUUCGGGUUGUAAACCGCUUUUGUCAGGGAAGAAAUCUUCUGGGUUAAUACCUCGGGAGGAUGACGGUACCUGAAGAAUAAGCACCGGCUAACUACGUGCCAGCAGCCGCGGUAAUACGUAGGGUGCAAGCGUUAAUCGGAAUUACUGGGCGUAAAGCGUGCGCAGGCGGUUAUGUAAGACAGAUGUGAAAUCCCCGGGCUUAACCUGGGAACUGCAUUUGUGACUGCAUAGCUUGAGUGCGGCAGAGGGGGAUGGAAUUCCGCGUGUAGCAGUGAAAUGCGUAGAUAUGCGGAGGAACACCGAUGGCGAAGGC